rnacentral:rRNA from 1 species
UAGUGGCGAACGGGUGAGUAACACGUGGGCAAUCUGCCCUGCACUCUGGGACAAGCCCUGGAAACGGGGUCUAAUACCGGAUAUUACCUGGUGAGGCAUCUUACCGGGUGGAAAGCUCCGGCGGUGCAGGAUGAGCCCGCGGCCUAUCAGCUUGUUGGUGGGGUGAUGGCCUACCAAGGCGACGACGGGUAGCCGGCCUGAGAGGGCGACCGGCCACACUGGGACUGAGACACGGCCCAGACUCCUACGGGAGGCAGCAGUGGGGAAUAUUGCACAAUGGGCGCAAGCCUGAUGCAGCGACGCCGCGUGAGGGAUGACGGCCUUCGGGUUGUAAACCUCUUUCAGCAGGGAAGAAGCGCAAGUGACGGUACCUGCAGAAGAAGCGCCGGCUAACUACGUGCCAGCAGCCGCGGUAAUACGUAGGGCGCAAGCGUUGUCCGGAAUUAUUGGGCGUAAAGAGCUCGUAGGCGGCUUGUCGCGUCGGAUGUGAAAGCCCGGGGCUUAACCCCGGGUCUGCAUUCGAUACGGGCAGGCUAGAGUUCGGUAGGGGAGAUCGGAAUUCCU